rnacentral:rRNA from 1 species
AGCAGCCGCGGUAAUUCCAGCUCCAAUAGCGUAUAUUAAAGUUGUUGCAGUUAAAAAGCUCGUAGUUGAAUUUCGGGAUUCUACCGUUGGUCGGGCUAUUGUCUGUACUGGCGUGUAGAAUUUCUACCUUCUGGGGAACUAUCAUGUUAUUAAUUUAGCGUGGUAGGAAACCAGGACCUUUACCUUGAAAAAAUUAGAGUGUUCAAAGCAGGCUUAUGUCUGAAUACAUUAGCAUGGAAUAAUAAAAUAGGACGGUGGUCCUGUUUUGUUGGUUUCUGAAUCACCGUAAUGAUUAAUAGGGAUAGUUGGGGGCAUUAGUAUUCAAUUGUCAGAGGUGAAAUUCUUGGAUUUAUUGAAGACUAACUACUGCGAAAGCAUUUGCCAAGGAUGUUUUCAUUAAUCAAGAACGAAAGUUAGGGGAUCGAAGACGAUCAGAUACCGUCGUAGUCUUAACCAUAAACUAUGCCGACUAGGGAUCGGAUGAUGUUAAUUUUUUAAUGACUCAUUCGGCGCCUUACGG